rnacentral:rRNA from 1 species
UACGUAGGGUGCAAGCGUUGUCCGGAAUUAUUGGGCGUAAAGAGCUUGUAGGCGGUUUGUCGCGUCUGCCGUGAAAAUCCGAGGCUCAACCUCGGACUUGCGGUGGGUACGGGCAGACUAGAGUGUGGUAGGGGAGACUGGAAUUCCUGGUGUAGCGGUGAAAUGCGCAGAUAUCAGGAGGAACACCGAUGGCGAAGGCAGGUCUCUGGGCCGAUACUGACGCUGAGGAGCGAAAGCGUGGGGAGCGAACAGG